rnacentral:siRNA from 1 species
CGAGCGGCCGGCGGACAGGCAA